rnacentral:rRNA from 1 species
UACGGAGGAUGCGAGCGUUAUCCGGAUUUAUUGGGUUUAAAGGGUGCGCAGGCGGAAUGUCAAGUCAGCGGUAAAAUUUCGGGGCUCAACCCCGUCGUGCCGUUGAAACUGACACCCUUGAGUGAGUGAGAAGUACGCGGAAUGCGCGGUGUAGCGGUGAAAUGCUUAGAUAUCGCGCAGAACCCCGAUUGCGAAGGCAGCUUACUAAGCCAUAACUGACACUGAAGCACGAAAGCGUGGGGAUCAAACAGG